rnacentral:rRNA from 1 species
UUUCCUUCGGGAAACAAGUAGAGUGGCGCACGGGUGAGUAACACGUAGGUAAUCUACCUUUGGAUGGGGAAUAACAACCGGAAACGGUUGCUAAUACCGCAUAAUGCAGCGGCACCUAAUGGUGACAGUUGUUAAAGCGGGGGAUCGAAAGACCUCGCGUCUAAAGAGGAGCCUGCGGCGGAUUAGCUAGUUGGUAAGGUAAUGGCUUACCAAGGCUACGAUCCGUAACCGGCCUGAGAGGGCGGUCGGUCACACUGACACUGACAUACGGGUCAGACUCCUACGGGAGGCAGCAGUCGGGAAUUUUGGGCAAUGGGCGAAAGCCUGACCCAGCAACGCCGCGUGAAGGAUGAAAUCCCUCGGGAUGUAAACUUCGCAAGAACGGGAAGAAUAAGCGAGAGUUAAUAUCUUUCGUGAUGACGGUACCGUUUGUAAGCUCCGGCUAACUCCGUGCCAGCAGCCGCGGUAAUACGGGGGGAGCANGCGUUGUUCGGAUUUACUGGGCGUAAAGGGCGCGUAGGCGGUCAGCACAAGUCAGUUGUGAANUCUCCGAGCUUAACUCGGAACGGUCAACUGAUACUGUGCGACUAGAGUGCGGAAGGGGCAACUGGAAUUCUUNGGUGUAGCGGUGAAAUGCGUAGAUAUCAAGAGGAACACCUGCGGCGAAGGCGGGUUGCUGGGCCGACACUGACGCUGAGGCGCGAAAGCCAGGGGAGCGAACGGGAUUAGAUACCCCGGUAGUCCUGGCCUUAAACGAUGAAUGCUUGGUGUCUGGGGUUAUAAAGUCCCCGGGUGCCGUCGCUAACGCUUUAAGCAUUCCGCCUGGGGAGUACGGUCGCAAGACUGAAACUCAANGGAAUUGACGGGGACCCGCACAAGCGGUGGAGCAUGUGGUUUAAUUCGACGCAACGCGAAGAACCUUACCUGGGCUAGAAUGCCUCUGACAACCCUAGAGACAGGGCCUCCAAGGUAAAACUUGGCAGAGUGCAAGGUGCUGCAUGGCUGUCGUCAGCUCGUGUCGUGAGAUGUUGGGUUAAGUCCCGCAACGAGCGCAACCCUUAUCUUUAGUUGCCAGCAUUAAGUUGGGCACUCUAGAGAGACUGCCGUUGACAAAACGGAGGAAGGUGGGGAUGACGUCAAGUCCUCAUGGCCUUUAUGUCCAGGGCUACACACGUGCUACAAUGGCCGGUACAAACCGCCGCAAACUCGCAAGAGGGAGCCAAUCGGAAAAAGCCGGUCUCAGUUCGGAUUGAAGUCUGCAACU